UUACGGCCAUAUCAUGUUGAAACACUGGUUCUCAUACAAUCACCAAAGUUAAGCAAUGUCGAGCCUGGUUAUUAUCUAGAUGGAUGACCGCUUGAGAAUACCAGAUGCUGUAAG